rnacentral:rRNA from 1 species
AAUGAACGCUGGCGGCAGGCCUAACACAUGCAAGUCGAACGAGGUAGCAAUACCUAGUGGCGGACGGGUGAGUAACACGUGGGAACGUACCCUUUGCUACGGAAUAGCCCUGGGAAACUGGGAGUAAUACCGUAUGAGCCCGAGAGGGGAAAGAUUUAUCGGCAAAGGAUCGGCCCGCGUUGGAUUAGGUAGUUGGUGGGGUAAUGGCCUACCAAGCCGACGAUCCAUAGCUGGUUUGAGAGGAUGAUCAGCCACACUGGGGCUGAGACACGGCCCAGACUCCUACGGAGGCAGCAGUGGGAAUCUUAGACAAUGGGGGAAACCCUGAUCUAGCCAUGCCGCGUGAUCGAUGAAGGCCUUAGGGUUGUAAAGAUCUUUCAGGUGGGAAGAUAAUGACUGUACCACCAGAAGAAGCCCCGGCUAACUCCGUGCCAGCAGCCGCGGUAAU